UACGAGGGGUGCAAGCGUUGCUCGGAAUUAUUGGGCGUAAAGGGUUGGUAGGUGGUCUUGUUUGUCUAAGGUGAAAUCCCAUGGCUUAACUGUGGAAGUGCCUUAGAAACGGCAAGACUAGAGUCCUAGAGGGGUUUGUGGAAUUCCCGGUGUAGCGGUGAAAUGCGCAGAUAUCGGGAGGAACACCAAUGGCGAAGGCAGCCCGCUGGGACGGUACUGACGCUGAGGAGCGAAAGCCAGGGGAGCAAACGGG
rnacentral:rRNA from 1 species